rnacentral:rRNA from 1 species
UACAGAGGUCCCAAGCGUUGUUCGGAUUCACUGGGCGUAAAGGGUGCGUAGGUGGCGAAGUAAGUCGGAUGUGAAAUCUCCGAGCUCAACUCGGAAAUGGCAUUGGAAACUACUUUGCUCGAGGGUCGGAGGGGGGACUGGAAUUCUCGGUGUAGCAGUGAAAUGCGUAGAUAUCGAGAGGAACACCAGUGGCGAAGGCGAGUCCCUGGACGACUCCUGACACUGAGACGCGAAAGCGUGGGGAGCAAACAGG